GAUCAAGUGGCCAACACAUGGGUGCAGCUUGAACGGCCUGAUAAAGAUCAAGACCAUCCUGUCCACUGAUACCCAGCUCUACCUCGGUUUGGCCACCACUCUCCUGGCUAUCCUACCUAUGUCAAUCAAACUAUUGGUGAACCCUACUCUAUGGCAGUUCAAACUUCCCUUGUAUGCUGCCAUUGUUACUGAAGGAUGGUCUGUUGGUGCCGUACGUGGUCACCUCCCUGGCCUUCCUGUUCGUCAGCGUAUACCUGCUUUUCCACCCUUGGAGCAUUGCUCAGAAGACGAGCUGCGUCUGGGGCCCUACCACCGCCCCAUCCGUAUGCCCAGCAUGGACCUCGGAAGGGUCACCAAGUGGAAAUUCUACAUCUCCAUCGUGGCCAUGGCUGGUUUGUGCUUUAUGAGCAUGGCGCUGGCCCCUCUGGCCAGGCUGCCUGAUUUGUUUCCCCUCCUGGUGUCAGUGUUCUUUUCCACCACUUCCUGGGCCUCCUCUUCUACUUCAACCUUGUCCAGAUUGCCGAGCCGCCUCCACCUGGGAGUAAGAAUCAGAGUAGUCGCUACCCGGUAG
rnacentral:lncRNA from 1 species